GUAAUGGUCCCUGUGGGUCUCUAUUGGUAAAUUGCUUUCUUCUAUUGGUGGUAUGUAUUGUCUUGGAUUGCCACCAUACGUCAUUUGGAAAGGUUAUUUUUAAUUCAUUUAAUUUUUUUUUUUUUUUUUUAAAUCAACUCGACUCGUCAUGGCCUUCAAAAUUGACUUGAAAAGUUGGUCUUUGUUUUGUCUGUCGGAUUUGGUCCAAAUUUAGCCCAAAAAUAGAUGUGAAAUAACAGUGAAAUUCUGCGUGACUUCCACGUGCUGUAAUGUGCGCGCGCGCAGAACUGGAGCGGAGGACGUCACCAUGGAAACGAGGCGGCAGCCCAACCGUCAAGCAGCUGAUCGCUGACACUCAAUGUGGUUUCACUUUUUUUUAGGUAAGUUUAGUCUAUUAAAUUACACAAAUAGUACAUUAAAGUGUUCCUGACACUUUAUUUCAUGUAAAUUAUACACUUUCGUUUAAUAUUUACUUUAUAGAAAUGGUUUAGCGUCGUCAGAAAAAGUCCGUUAGCAUCUCAAAGAAGUGCCAGAAAAAAACCUCUAUGACGCAGGAGAAGUUCCUGAUUUUAACAUUUCUGAAGGGAGCUGCUGACAGAGAGGAUGAAAACAUACACAUUUUGAUGUCCACGCUGUAGGAGCAUUACUAAAUAAUUAAAACUAAAAUAUAUAUAUAUUUAUUGUAAAUGAUUAUAUAAAUUAUAUAUUCUGUGAAUUAUUAUUUUUCUUUUCUGCAUUUCACCUCUGCUAUAGUAUAUGCCUUAUACCUGGCAUUGUAUAAUAAAUAUUGUUGUCUCUGUGACUUAUGUUCCUAGGUUCUUCCAUGCUGAUGGCUGCGCUCUAGUCAUAUCUCCUGUCGAAGAACAUUUUUAGACAUUAUGAACCAUGAAUAGUAAGCAAUUCGUCAAACAUACACCAUUCAAAAAUAGUUUAGCUCCAACCCCAGUUAAGCAGACCUGAGCAGCUGAUCAAGGAUCAGCAGAAACUCUGCAGAACGGUGGUCCUCCAGCCCAGGACUGGACACCAGUGUUAGUGUCUGUCUCAGAAGCUGAAGAAAAAAGGUCACACCUUAUAGGAAAUAAACGCCUCCUAAGUGUAUGGAAAUACCUGGCUGAGGAGAUCAGUGACAUAAACCAGAUAAAACUGUCAGUGGUCUGAGACAGCUACAAGCCACAAAAACAGUUCAUAGUUCCUGCAUUUCUAUAAUGCAUUAAUGAAUAACAAUAAUUAAAAUAAAAUGUAAUGUCAAGGUUUUGUGUUAAUUCCAGCUAUGUUGAGUAUUCUGUGAAUAAUUUUGAUUUUAGGUGCAUAUUCUUAAUUCUUUGCAAAACAACCUGAACUGUUUGCUAUUGAAAGGUUGGUAUGAAGUUUAAAUAAAUAAAAACAUUAUAUUCUUGACAAAACCUGUGUACAGUUUGUAUUAAUAAUUUAAAUUAUUUACUUAUAUUAAUUAAUGGCCUAAUUACCAGCUAUCAGUUAAACAUUCAAAUCAGAACCAAUAUAAAAGUGCAACGAAAACUAUUAAAUAUAUGCAAAUAAAGACCAGUACAAACUUGCAAUGGAACCAUCAGAACCAUUACAAAACUGACGGAAACCAUUAAAUUUGUUUUAAUAAAGACCAAUACAAACUUGUAAUGGAACCAUCAGA